rnacentral:rRNA from 1 species
UACAGAGGAUGCAAGCGUUAUCCGGAAUGAUUGGGCGUAAAGCGUCUGUAGGUGGCUUUUUAAGUCCGCCGUCAAAUCCCAGGGCUCAACUCUGGACAGGCGGUGGAAACUACCAAGCUGGAGUACGGUAGGGGCAGAGGGAAUUCCCGGUGUAGCGGUGAAAUGCGCAGAUAUCGGGAGGAACACCAAUGGCGAAGGCAGCUCGCUGGGACGGUACUGACGCUGAGACGCGAAAGCGUGGGGAGCAAACAGG